rnacentral:misc_RNA from 1 species
UACAGAGGGUGCAAGCGUUGUUCGGAAUUAUUGGGCGUAAAGCGCACGUAGGCGGCUAUGCAAGUCGGGUGUGAAAGCCCAGGGCUUAACCCUGGAAGUGCAUUCGAAACUGCAUGGCUAGAGUCCCGGAGAGGGUGGUGGAAUUCCCAGUGUAGAGGUGAAAUUCGUAGAUAUUGGGAGGAACACCGGUGGCGAAGGCGACCACCUGGACGGCGACUGACGCUGAGGUGCGAGAGCGUGGGGAGCAAACAGG